rnacentral:rRNA from 1 species
GAUGAACGCUGGCGGCGUGCCUAAUACAUGCAAGUCGAGCGAACGGACGAGAAGCUUGCUUUUCUGAUGUUAGCGGCGGACGGGUGAGUAACACGUGGAUAACCUACCUAUAAGACUGGGAUAACUUCGGGAAACCGGAGCUAAUACCGGAUAAUAUUUUGAACCGCAUGGUUCAAAAGUGAAAGACGGUCUUGCUGUCACUUAUAGAUGGAUCCGCGCUGCAUUAGCUAGUUGGUAAGGUAACGGCUUACCAAGGCAACGAUGCAUAGCCGACCUGAGAGGGUGAUCGGCCACACUGGAUCUGAGACACGGUCCAGACUCCUACGGGAGGCAGCAGUAGGGAAUCUUCCGCAAUGGGCGAAAGCCUGACGGAGCAACGCCGCGUGAGUGAUGAAGGUCUUCGGAUCGUAAAACUCCGUUAUUAGGGAAGAACAUAUGUGUAAGUAACUGUGCACAUCUUGACGGUACCUAAUCAGAAAGCCACGGCUAACUACGUG